rnacentral:rRNA from 1 species
AUUGAACGCUGGCGGCAUGCCUUACACAUGCAAGUCGAACGGCAGCACGGGAGCAAUCCUGGUGGCGAGUGGCGAACGGGUGAGUAAUAUAUCGGAACGUGCCCGGUCGUGGGGGAUAACGUAGCGAAAGCUACGCUAAUACCGCAUACGAUCUACGGAUGAAAGCGGGGGAUCGCAAGACCUCGCGCGAUUGGAGCGGCCGAUAUCAGAUUAGGUAGUUGGUGGGGUAAAGGCUCACCAAGCCAACGAUCUGUAGCUGGUCUGAGAGGACGACCAGCCACACUGGAACUGAGACACGGUCCAGACUCCUACGGGAGGCAGCAGUGGGGAAUUUUGGACAAUGGACGCAAGUCUGAUCCAGCCAUUCCGCGUGCAGGAUGAAGGCCCUCGGGUUGUAAACUGCUUUUGUACGGAACGAAAAGGUUUCUAUUAAUACUAGGAGCUCAUGACGGUACCGUAAGAAUAAAGCACCGGCUAACACGUGCCAGCAGCCG